rnacentral:rRNA from 1 species
GCCAGCCCGCUCAGAACUCAAAGGAAUUGACGGGGCCCGCACAAGCGGUGGAGCAUGUGGUUUAAUUCGAUGAUACGCGAGGAACCUUACCUGGGCUCGAACGUAAGAUGACUGUAGGCGAAAGCUUACAUCUCUUCGGAGCAUUUUACGAGGUGCUGCAUGGUUGUCGUCAGCUCGUGCCGUGAGGUGUCGGGUUAAGUCCCAUAACGAGCGCAACCCCUACCUUUAGUUGCCAUCAGGUAAUGCUGGGGACUCUAAAGGAACUGCCUACGCAAGUAGUGAGGAAGGCGGGGAUGACGUCAAAUCAGCACGGCCCUUACGUCCAGGGCUACACACGUGCUACAAUGGCCGAUACAGAGGGCAGCUACCUGGUGACAGGAUGCAAAUCUCCAAAGUCGGUCUCAGUUCGGAUCGGAGUCUGCAACCCGACUCCGUGAAGUUGGAUUCGCUAGUAAUCGCGCAUCAGCCAUGGCGCGGUGAAUACGUUCCCGGGCCUU